UGGGUAACCUGCCCUGUACACACGGAUAACAUACCGAAAGGUAUGCUAAUACGAGAUAAUAUGCUUUUAUCGCAUGGUAGAAGUAUCAAAGCUUUUGCGGUACAGGAUGGACCCGCGUCUGAUUAGCUAGUUGGUGAGGUAACGGCUCGCCAAGGCGACGAUCAGUAGCCGACCUGAGAGGGUGAUCGGCCACAUUGGAACUGAGACACGGUCCAGACUCCGUAGGAG
rnacentral:rRNA from 1 species